GGCUUCUUGAUCCUAUGUGUUGUAUUGAGUGUUGGUCACUGGUCUUUGGGAAGCUUGGACAGAAGUGGGGCAGCCAUGGAGCUGCUGACUGGGACUGGCCUGUGGCCCGUGGUCAUAGUCACAGUCAUCUUCAUAUUACUGGUGGACAUGUUGCACCGGUGCCAGCGCUGGACUUCUUGCUGCCCACCAGACCCUGUGCCAUGGCCUGUGCUGGGUAACCUGCUGCAGGUGGACCUGGAUAACAUGCCAUAUAACUUGUACAAGCUUCACAACCGCUAUGGUGACGUGUUCAGCCUGCAGAUGGGCUGGAACCACAUGGCCGUGAUCAACGGACUGAAGGUGUGGUCCUUGCUCCUUAUGGGCCUGAGUGGAAAGAGCAGAGGUGAUUCUCUGCGUCGACCCUGUGCAACUUCAGCCUGGGCAAGAAAUCACUGGAGCAGUGGGUGAUGGAAGAGGUUGGACACCUCUUUGAUGUCUUCACUGCCCAUGCUGGGAGUCCCCUCAAUCCUUACCCUCUCUUGGACAAAGCCGUGUGCAAUGUGAUUGUGUCUCUCAUUUAUGCCCAUCGCUUCGAGUAUGGAGACCCUGACUUCAUCAAGAUGCUAAAAAGGAGGCUGUAGACAAGAGAUUUGGAAAGAACACAUCUAGAAGUGUCCACCACAGUAAUAGGAGCCUGGAGAUUGACAUACAGCAAAAGGAAGUGAGAAGCUGACCAAGGUCAGGGCUUCUAGAAGCUGAGACCCUGGCCCUCUGCCCACAUGGAACAUCUGUGAGAUUUUCCAGGUUCUGAACACAUUCCCAAUUCUCCUACGCAUCCCAGGGUUGGCUGACAAAGUCUUCCCUGGGCAAAAGACAUUUCUCAUAAUGGUGGAUAAGCUGGUGACUGAGCACAAGAGGACCUGGAACUCGGACCAGCCGCCUCGAGACCUGACUGAUGCCUUUAUGGCUGAGAUGGAGAAGGCAAAGGGAAACCCUGAGAGUAGCUUCAAUGAUGCAAAUCUAUGUCUGGUUGUCCUUGACCUGCUGGGUGCUGCAACUGUGACCACCUCAACCACACUGUCCUGGGCCCUGCUGCUUAUGAUCCUGCAUCCGGAUGUGCAGUGUGAGCCUGGCUGGGGCUGUCAAGAAAGGAGGAGGAGGGUAGAGGCAAACUCCUUAAACUUACUUGGGACACUUGUAGAUCCCAGCAUUGAGUUAACCCAGACUGCAGUAAGUAUGGUUGCCUUAUUUCUCCCAUGGACCCAGCCCUUAACAGAGAGGUAGUGGAUGGACAAGGGGCACCCACUGAAGCAUCUUAACUGAUGGGAAAAUGUCCUUCCAGGCCAAGUACAACAGGAAAUCGAUGAGGUCAUUUGGUAUGUGUGGCUUCCAGAGAUGGCAGACCAGGUCUGCAUGCCCUUCACCAAUGCUGUCAUUCAUGAGGGCAUGACUCUCAUCUCCAACCUGUUCCGUGCUGAAGGAUGAGACUGUCUGGGAGAAGCCCCUUCGCUUCCAUCCUGAACACUUCCUGGAUGCCCAGGGCCACUUUGUGAAGCCUGAGGCCUUCAUGCCAUUCUCAGCAGGUGCCUCUAGGGUGCCUUCCUGCCUAUCUUUCCCUAGGGUGCCUUGGAGGGUGGAGCACCAAUCAGGUCCCAGACUGAGCCCUCUUCUACACAUAGGCCACAGAUCAUGCCUGGGGGAGCCCCUGGCCCUCAUGGAGCUCUUCCUCUUCUUCACCUGCCUCCUGCAGCGCUUUAGCUUCUCAAUGCCAGCUGGACAAUCCCUUCCCAGUGAUUAUGGCAUCUAUACAAUGCCAGUUACUCCAGCACCUACCAGCUCUGUGCAGUGGUUUGCUAGCAGGGGCAGUGGCUCCAGCCAUCAUCACAGAUUGUUCUGACUGAUGUCCAAUAAACAAGUUUUGUGUCUGAA
rnacentral:lncRNA from 1 species